ACGGCAGCACGGGAGCAAUCCUGGUGGCGAGUGGCGAACGGGUGAGUAAUAUAUCGGAACGUGCCCAGUCGUGGGGGAUAACGUAGCGAAAGCUACGCUAAUACCGCAUACGAUCUAUGGAUGAAAGCGGGGGAUCGCAAGACCUCGCGCGAUUGGAGCGGCCGAUAUCAGAUUAGGUAGUUGGUGGGGUAAAAGCCCACCAAGCCGACGAUCUGUAGCUGGUCUGAGAGGACGACCAGCCACACUGGGACUGAGACACGGCCCAGACUCCUACGGGAGGCAGCAGUGGGGAAUUUUGGACAAUGGGCGCAAGCCUGAUCCAGCAAUGCCGCGUGCAGGAUGAAGGCCUUCGGGUUGUAAACUGCUUUUGUACGGAACGAAACGGUGAGCUCUAAUACAGUUUGCUAAUGACGGUACCGUAAGAAUAAGCACCGGCUAACUACGUGCCAGCAGCCGCGGUAAUACGUAGGGUGCAAGCGUUAAUCGGAAUUACUGGGCGUAAAGCGUGCGCAGGCGGUUAUGUAAGACAGAUGUGAAAUCCCCGGGCUUAACCUGGGAACUGCAUUUGUGACUGCAUAGCUAGAGUACGGUAGAGGGGGAUGGAAUUCCGCGUGUAGCAGUGAAAUGCGUAGAUAUGCGGAGGAACACCGAUGGCGAAGGCAAUCCCCUGGACCUGUACUGACGCUCAUGCACGAAAGCG
rnacentral:rRNA from 1 species